rnacentral:rRNA from 1 species
AGUGAACGCUGGCGGCAGGCCUAACACAUGCAAGUCGAACGAGUGGCGGACGGGUGAGUAAUACCUCGGAAUCUGCCCUGUCGUGGGGGAUAACGUAGGGAAACUUUCGCUAAUACCGCAUACGAUCGAAUGAGCCGAUAUUGGAUUAGCUAGUUGGUGGGGUAAAGGCUCACCAAGGCGACGAUCCGUAGCUGGUCUGAGAGGAUGAUCAGCCACACUGGAACUGAGACACGGUCCAGACUCCUACGGGAGGCAGCAGUGGGGAAUAUUGGACAAUGGGCGCAAGCCUGAUCCAGCCAUACCGCGUGGGUGAAGAAGGCCUUCGGGUUGUAAAGCCCUUUUGUUGAGAAAGCGGUACCCAAAGAAUAAGCACCGGCUAACUUCGUGCCAGCAGCCGCGGUAAUUC